GCCUCCGUGGCGAAAUUGGCUAUCGCGUUCGACUUUUAAUUGCCUUUAAGGCAUCGAUUGGUUGCGGGUUCGAGCCCCGCCGGAGGCU